CAAACACACUGCCAGAUAUAUCAGUGUUAGGAUUACAAAUAUGCUCUAUAAAAAAAAAAAAAACAAACACUGGGAUUAACUGAGAAACUGGCUUGAUAUGCCCAAAUGUUAAUCAGGGGGUAGCUUUCCAUUAGUAGUUGAGAGAAGUCCUAAUCCAUACCACACACCUAGCAAGCCCAGCCUUGAUAAAUGGCUAAGGAUGAAUAAUGAUAC